AGCAGUGUGGCUCAGUGGAAAGAGCACGGGCUUUGGAGCCAGAGGACGUCGGUUCAAAUCCCGGCUCUGCCA
rnacentral:tRNA from 1 species